CCUACGGGAGGCAGCAGUGAGGAAUAUUGGUCAAUGGCCGAGAGGCUGAACCAGCCAAGUCGCGUGAGGGAAGAAUGUCCUAUGGAUUGUAAACCUCUUUUGUCAGGGAGCAAAGUCACCCACGUGUGGGUGUUGGAGUGUACCUGAAGAAAAAGCAUCGGCUAACUCCGUGCCAGCAGCCGCGGUAAUACGGAGGAUGCGAGCGUUAUCCGGAUUUAUUGGGUUUAAAGGGUGCGUAGGCGGGUUAUGAAGUCAGCGGUAAAAUGGUGGGGCUCAACUCCAUCCAGCCGUUGAAAAUGGUGAUAUUGAGGGGGCGAGAAGUAUGGGGAAUGGGUGGGG
rnacentral:rRNA from 1 species